rnacentral:rRNA from 1 species
GACGAACGCUGGCGGCGUGCCUAAUACAUGCAAGUAGAACGCUGAAGAGAGGAGCUUACUCUUCUUGGAUGAGUUGCGAACGGGUGAGUAACGCGUAGGUAACCUGCCUUGUAGCGGGGGAUAACUAUUGGAAACGAUAGCUAAUACCGCAUAACAAUGGAUGACACAUGUCAUUUAUUUGAAAGGGGCAAUUGCUCCACUACAAGAUGGACCUGCGUUGUAUUAGCUAGUAGGUGAGGUAAUGGCUCACCUAAGCGACGAUACAUAGCCGACCUGAGAGGGUGAUCAGGCAAACUGGGACUGGGACGAGGCCCAGACUCCUACGGGAGGGAGCAGUAGGGAAUCUUCGGCAAUGGGGGCAAACCUGACCGAGCAACGCCGGGGGAGGGAAGAAGGGUUUCGGAUCGGAAAGCUCUGUUGUAAGUCAAGAACGGGUGUGAGAGUGGAAAGUUCACACUGUGACGGUAGCUUACCAGAAAGGGACGGCUAACUACGUG